rnacentral:tRNA from 1 species
GCCCGUGUGGAUCAAUCGGAACGCGCACUGGACUAACAAUCCAGAGAUCGCCGGUUUGAAUCCCGCGGCGGGCG